UAUCGGAACAUACCCUAGAGUGGGGAUAACGUAGCGAAAGUUACGCUAAUACCGCAUACGCACUAAGGUGGAAAUCGGGGAUCUUCGGACCUCAUGCUCAUGGAGUGGCCGAUAUCUGAUUAGCUAGUUGGUGAGGUAAAGGCUCACCAAGGCGACGAUCAGUAGCUGGUUUGAGAGAACGACCCAGCCACACUGGAACUGAGACACGGUCCAGACUCCUACGGGAGGCAGCAGUGGGGAAUUUUGGACAAUGGGGGCAACCCUGAUCCAGCAAUGCCGCGUGAGUGAAGAAGGCCUUCGGGUUGUAAAGCUCUUUUGUCAGGGGAGAAACGGUGAGUUCUAAUAAAGCUUGCUAAUGACGGUACCUGAAGAAUAAGCACCGGCUAACUACGUG
rnacentral:rRNA from 1 species